AAAUCUAGUAAGUAGCGUAACUAUUUCAAUUACUUUAUUAAAGUAAUGUAACUGAUAACAUGAUUACUUUUUGAUUGCCUUUCUAAAUUACUAUUCAUUUCACAUUUU